UACGUAGGGUGCAAGCGUUGUCCGGAAUUAUUGGGCGUAAAGAGCUCGUAGGCGGUUUGUUGCGUCGGCUGUGAAAUCCCGAGGCUCAACCUCGGGUCUGCAGUCGAUACGAGCAAACUAGAGUGUUGCAGGGGAGACUGGAAUUCCUGGUGUAGCGGUGAAAUGCGCAGAUAUCAGGAGGAACACCGGUGGCGAAGGCGGGUCUCUGGGCAACAACUGACGCUGAGGCGCGAAAGCGUGGGUAGCAAACAGG
rnacentral:rRNA from 1 species